rnacentral:misc_RNA from 1 species
GAUGAAGAACGCAGCGAAAUGCGAUAAGUAGUGUGAAUUGCAGAAUUCAGUGAAUCAUCGAAUCUUUGAACGCACAUUGCGCCCCCUGGUAUUCCGGGGGGCAUGCCUGUCCGAGCGUCAUUACAACCCUCAAGCUCAGCUUGGUAUUGGGCCCCGCCGACCCGGCGGGCCCUAAAGUCAGUGGCGGUGCCGUCCGGCUCCGAGCGUAGUAAUUCUUCUCGCUCUGGAGGUCCGGUCGUGUGCUCGCCAGCAACCCCCAAUUUUUUUCAGGUUGACCUCGGAUCAGGUAGGGAUACCCGCUGAACUUAAGCAUAUCAAUAAGCGGAGGA